rnacentral:rRNA from 1 species
UACGGAGGGGGCUAGCGUUGUUCGGAAUUACUGGGCGUAAAGCGCGUGUAGGCGGGCCCCCAAGUCGGACGUGAAAGCCCUGAGCUCAACUCAGGAACUGCAUCCGAAACUGAGGGCCUGGAGUAGUGGAGAGGGAAGCAGAAUUCCUGGUGUAGAGGUGAAAUGCGCAGAUAUCAGGAGGAACACCGGUGGCGAAGGCGGGUCUCUGGGCCGAUACUGACGCUGAGGAGCGAAAGCGUGGGGAGCGAACAGG